GACGAACGCUGGCGGCGUGCUUAACACAUGCAAGUCGAACGGAAAGGCCCUGCUUGCAGGGUACUCGAGUGGCGAACGGGUGAGUAACACGUGGGUGAUCUGCCCUGCACUUCGGGAUAAGCCUGGGAAACUGGGUCUAAUACCGGAUAGGAGCCAUUUUUAGUGUGAUGGUUGGAAAGUUUUUCGGUGUAGGAUGAGCUCGCGGCCUAUCAGCUUGUUGGUGGGGUAAUGGCCUACCAAGGCGGCGACGGGUAGCCGGCCUGAGAGGGUGGACGGCCACAUUGGGACUGAGAUACGGCCCAGACUCCUACGGGAGGCAGCAGUGGGGAAUAUUGCACAAUGGGCGCAAGCCCGAUGCAGCGACGCCGCGUGGGGGAUGACGGCCUUCGGGUUGUAAACUCCUUUCGCUAGGGACGAAGCUUUUUGUGACGGUACCUAGAUUAGAAGCACCGGCUAACUACGUGCCAGCAGCCGCGGUAA
rnacentral:rRNA from 1 species